AACAGUCUCCGGGACAAGUUUGCAAUUCCGCUGAGUGCAAAAGUUGUCACCUUAAUUUUUGGAGUCAAGUCAAAAUGAAGUUGAUAACUUGGUUGGUAUUGGUUCCCUGAUAUUUGUCCUAAAAAAAUUUGGCUCUAGCACCACUGUUGAAAAAGUUAUGCCCCUUUUUUGAACAAUUUCCUCAGAGGAAAAGUAGUUUUCCUCAAGGGAAAUUUAAUUUCCCUUAAGGAAAAACAGUUUUCCUCAAGGGAAAUUAUUUUUUCCUCAAGGGAAAAAGAUUUCCCUUAGGGAAUUUGCUGCAUGAAUAUUUCCUUCGAGGAAAUUCUAUUUCCUCUGAGGAAAUU
rnacentral:lncRNA from 1 species